rnacentral:rRNA from 1 species
GGUUAAGUUAGAAAGGGCGCACGGUGAAUGCCUUGGCACUAGGAGCCGAUGAAGGACGGGACUAACACCGAUAUGCUUCGGGGAGCUGUAAGUGAGCUUUGAUCCGGAGAUUUCCGAAUGGGGAAACCCACUGUUCGUAAUGGAACAGUAUCUUUAUCUGAAUACAUAGGAUAUUGAAGGCAGACCCGGGGAACUGAAACAUCUAAGUACCCGGAGGAAGAGAAAGCAAAUGCGAUUUCCUGAGUAGCGGCGAGCGAAACGGAAUUAGCCCAAACCAAGAGGCUUGCCUCUUGGGGUUGUAGGACACUCUAUACGGAGUUACAAAGGAACGAAGUAAAUGAAGCGACCUGGAAAGGUCCGUCGAAGAAGGUAACAACCCUGUAGUUGAAACUUCGUUCCCUCUUGAGUGGAUCCUGAGUACGGCGGAACACGUGAAAUUCCGUCGGAAGCUGGGAGGACCAUCUCCCAAGGCUAAAUACUACCUAGUGACCGAUAGUGAACCAGUACCGUGAGGGAAAGGUGAAAAGCACCCCGGAAGGGGAGUGAAAGAGAUCCUGAAACCGUGUGCCUACAAGUAGUCAGAGCCCGUUAACGGGUGAUGGCGUGCCUUUUGUAGAAUGAACCGGCGAGUUACGAUCCCAUGCAAGGUUAAGCUGAUAAGGCGGAGCCGUAGCGAAAGCGAGUCUGAAUAGGGCGUUUAGUAUGUGGUUGUAGACCCGAAACCAGGUGAUCUACCCAUGUCCAGGGUGAAGUUCAGGUAACACUGAAUGGAGGCCCGAACCCACGCACGUUGAAAAGUGCGGGGAUGAGGUGUGGGUAGCGGAGAAAUUCCAAUCGAACCUGGAGAUAGCUGGUUCUCUCCGAAAUAGCUUUAGGGCUAGCCUCAUGUUGUGAGAGUCUUGGAGGUAGAGCACUGAUUGGACUAGGGGCCCCCAACGGGUUACCGAAUUCAGUCAAACUCCGAAUGCCAAAGACUUAUCCAUGGGAGUCAGACUGCGAGUGAUAAGAUCCGUAGUCAAAAGGGAAACAGCCCAGACCACCAGCUAAGGUCCCCAAGUAUACGUUAAGUGGAAAAGGAUGUGGAGUUGCUUAGACAACCAGGAUGUUGGCUUAGAAGCAGCCACCAUUUAAAGAGUGCGUAAUAGCUCACUGGUCGAGUGACUCUGCGCCGAAAAUGUACCGGGGCUAAACGUAUCACCGAAGCUGUGGAUUGACAUCUUUGAUGUCAGUGGUAGGAGAGCGUUCUAAGUGCUGUGAAGUCAGACUGUAAGGACUGGUGGAGCGCUUAGAAGUGAGAAUGCCGGUAUGAGUAGCGAAAGACAAGUGAGAAUCUUGUCCACCGAAUGCCUAAGGUUUCCUGAGGAAGGCUCGUCCGCUCAGGGUUAGUCGGGACCUAAGCCGAGGCUGAAAAGCGUAGGCGAUGGCCAACAGGUUGAUAUUCCUGUACCACCUCCCCGCCGUUUGAGUAAUGGGGGGACGCAGUAGGAUAGGGUAAGCGCGCUGCUGGAUAUGCGCGUUCAAGCAGUUAGGCUGAUGAGUAGGCAAAUCCGCUCAUCAUAAAGGCUGAGCUGUGAUGACGAGGGAAUUAUAGUACCGAAGUUCCUGAUUCCACACUGCCAAGAAAAGCCUCUAGCGAGGCGGGAGGUGCCCGUACCGCAAACCGACACAGGUAGGCGAGGAGAGAAUCCUAAGGUGAUCGAGAGAACUCUCGUUAAGGAACUCGGCAAAAUGACCCCGUAACUUCGGGAGAAGGGGUGCUCUGGUAGGGUGUAUAGCCCGAGAGAGCCGCAGUGAAUAGGCCCAGGCGACUGUUUAGCAAAAACACAGGUCUCUGCGAAGCCGCAAGGCGAAGUAUAGGGGCUGACGCCUGCCCGGUGCUGGAAGGUUAAGAGGAGGGGUUAUCCUUUGGGAGAAGCUCUGAAUCGAAGCCCCAGUAAACGGCGGCCGUAACUAUAACGGUCCUAAGGUAGCGAAAUUCCUUGUCGGGUAAGUUCCGACCCGCACGAAAGGCGUAACGAUCUGGGCACUGUCUCAACGAGAGACUCGGUGAAAUUAUAGUACCUGUGAAGAUGCAGGUUACCCGCGACAGGACGGAAAGACCCCGUGGAGCUUUACUGUAGCCUGAUAUUGAAUUUUGGUACAGCUUGUACAGGAUAGGUAGGAGCCUGAGAAGCCGGAGCGCUAGCUUCGGUGGAGGCGUCGGUGGGAUACUACCCUGGCUGUAUUGAAAUUCUAACCCGCGGCCCUGAUCGGGCCGGGAGACAGUGUCAGGUGGGCAGUUUGACUGGGGCGGUCGCCUCCUAAAAUGUAACGGAGGCGCCCAAAGGUUCCCUCAGAAUGGUUGGAAAUCAUUCGUAGAGUGUAAAGGCACAAGGGAGCUUGACUGCGAGACCUACAAGUCGAGCAGGGACGAAAGUCGGGCUUAGUGAUCCGGUGGUUCCGCAUGGAAGGGCCAUCGCUCAACGGAUAAAAGCUACCCCGGGGAUAACAGGCUUAUCUCCCCCAAGAGUCCACAUCGACGGGGAGGUUUGGCACCUCGAUGUCGGCUCAUCGCAUCCUGGGGCUGUAGUCGGUCCCAAGGGUUGGGCUGUUCGCCCAUUAAAGCGGUACGCGAGCUGGGUUCAGAACGUCGUGAGACAGUUCGGUCCCUAUCCGUCGUGGGCGUAGGAAAUUUGAGAGGAGCUGUCCUUAGUACGAGAGGACCGGGAUGGACACACCGCUGGUGUACCAGUUGUCUUGCCAAAGGCAUCGCUGGGUAGCUAUGUGUGGACGGGAUAAGUGCUGAAAGCAUCUAAGCAUGAAGCCCCCCUCAAGAUGAGAUUUCCCAUAGCGCAAGCUAGUAAGAUCCCUGAAAGAUGAUCAGGUUGAUAGGUCAGAGGUGGAAGCGUGGCGACAUGUGUAGCUGACUGAUACUAAUCGAUCGAGGACUUAACCAA